UCCGUCAUCAUUGCACCCUCCAAUUAACAAGAGGGUGCUCAACCCAGUACCCAUGGACUGCGACCAAAAUGCAAGCCGCAGAGAUAGUCAUCAAAUUAGGAGGGCAAGGAUUCGCUGCGGUUCGUGGAAUGGCAUCUGAAGCCCCAGUGUCUGCAAUCCAAUCCUGUCUUCGCUGCGUUCUUUGAUGGGAAUACUGAGAUUCAGAGAGGUGAAUUAAAUUACCCAGGCUUACACAGCUAAUAUGUGGUAAAGCCAAGGUUUGAACUCUUGUUUCAAUGAGUCUAAAGCGUCAACUGUUGUAUACUGCCUGGGAAGAAAACUCUGGAGUCAUUACAAAGGAAGACCUACUUACUGGUUCCUUCCAGGAACCUCCAGAGAGAGGCGAAGGGAGUGAUCGGGAGAGAAACAUCGAUGUGCAAGAGGAACAUCAAU